rnacentral:rRNA from 1 species
UACGUAGGGGGCAAGCGUUGUCCGGAAUCAUUGGGCGUAAAGGGCGCGUAGGUGGCUCGGCACGUCCGUUGUGAAAUCGCUCGGCUCAACUGGGCGAGGUCAGCGGAUACGGUCGAGCUUGAGCCAGCUAGGGGGCAAUGGAAUUCCCGGUGUAGUGGUGGAAUGCGUAGAUAUCGGGAGGAACACCAGUGGCGAAGGCGGUUGCCUGGGGCUGUGCUGACGCUGAUGCGCGAAAGCGUGGGGAGCGAUCCGG